rnacentral:rRNA from 1 species
UCUGAAGAUCGGAGGACCACCUUCGAAGGCUAAGUGCUCCUUACUGACCGAUAGUGAACCAGUACCGUGAGGGAAAGAUGAAAAGUACCCCGAUGAGGGGAGUGAAACAGUACCUGAAACCGGAUGCUUACAAGCUGAGGGAGCUCUUCGGAGUGACCUCGUACCUUUUGUAUAAUGGGUCAACGACUUAGUGUUGCAUGCAAGCUUAAACCGUUAGGUGUAGGCGUAGCGAAAGCGAGUCUGAAUAGGGCGACUGAGUAUGUAGCAUUAGACCCGAAGGCAAGUGAUCUAGGUAUGGGCAGGGUGAAGGUGCAGUAACAUGCACUGGAGGCCCGAACCGUUGCACGUUGAAAAGUGCUCGGAUGACCUGUGCCUAGGGGUGAAAGGCCAAAAAAA